GAUGAACGCUGGCGGCGUGCUUAACACAUGCAAGUCGAACGGAAAGGCCCAAGCUUGCUUGGGUACUCGAGUGGCGAACGGGUGAGUAACACGUGGGUGAUCUGCCCUGCACUUCGGGAUAAGCCUGGGAAACUGGGUCUAAUACCGGAUAGGACCACUUCUUGGAUGUUGUGGUGGAAAGUUUUUUCGGUGUGGGAUGAGCUCGCGGCCUAUCAGCUUGUUGGUGGGGUAAUGGCCUACCAAGGCGUCGACGGGUAGCCGGCCUAAGAGGGUGUACGGCCACAUUGGGACUGAGAUACGGCCCAGACUCCUACGGGAGGCAGCAGUGGGGAAUAUUGCACAAUGGGCGCAAGCCUGAUGCAGCGACGCCGCGUGGGGGAUGACGGCCUUCGGGUUGUAAACUCCUUUCGCUAGGGACGAAGCGUUUUUGUGACGGUACCUGGAGAAGAAGCACCGGCUAACUACGUG
rnacentral:rRNA from 1 species